rnacentral:rRNA from 1 species
AACGAACGCUGGCGGCAUGCCUAACACAUGCAAGUCGAACGAGACCAUCGGGUCUAGUGGCGCACGGGGGCGUAACGCGUGGGAACCUGCCCUUAGAUUCGGAAUAACUCUCCGAAAGGGGUGCUAAUACCGGCUAAUGUCCUCGGACCAAAGAUUUAUCGCCUUUGGAUGGGCACGCGUUGGAUUAGCUAGUUGGUAGGGUAAAAGCCUACCAAGGCGACGAUCCAUAGCUGGUCAGAGAGGAUGAUCAGCCACACUGGGACUGAGACACGGCCCAGACUCCUACGGGAGGCAGCAGUGGGGAAUAUUGGACAAUGGGCGAGAGCCUGAAACAGCAAUGCCGCGUGAGUGAUGAUGGCCUUAGGGUUGUAAAGCUCUUUUACCCGGGAUGAUAAUGACAGUACCGAGAGAAUAAGCUCCGGCUAACUCCGUG